UCUUCUACUGUAGCCUUGCACUUUGGCCUUGCACAUUGGUAGUCCAAUGUCUUGACCAUCCCAAAACUGCAUGUUAUAUAUUACAUGGAGAUAAGAGGCUAAAGAAUUUUGUUUAGUCAUUAAAGAGAAAUAGGCAAUUGGUAGAGGGAACAGCAAAUGAAAAAAGCCUGAUGACAAACAGUCAAAAUGUGAAUUUACAGUGGGGUCAACAGUUAGAAUGUCUGUUAAUUAAAAAAAACAGCUUUGGUCUUAAAGUAAGACAUAGACAACAGGGUAUAAAGCAACAGAAAUAGAUGAUGGAAAGCAGAUACAGACAUGGUAAAAUGGUGGAAUACAAAUGAGUAUGGUCCCUAGAGCAAGAUCUAUAUGUAGAACAAAGACACAUGUGAUAAUGGAAGAGAAGGAGAGCAGGAAAAGUUGACUGAAGAGACCAGUAGGGAAACAAUUUUUGAAAUAAAAAUAUUGCUAACAACAGCGGGGUGUUUACUAAUAAAGGGGUACUGACUGAACUUAGUUUUCAUUUUGUGACAGAGAUAGUGUAGAAAUGUGAUAUCAAGAUUUUGUAUAGAGAUUUUUUUCUUUUUUACCUCAAAAGGUACAUUGGACAUGAGAUUAAGGUGCUGGACUUUUUUAGGAGUGUGGACGAUCUUUUAGUACCAUGAGUGAAUUGUAAGGGUAUAAGAAAAAAAACCUGUGUGGGUGGUGCAUCAAUGCUGUGAAAAAUAAUGAAUUUUUACUAUGCAACUUGUGUUAAAUUACUGUUUUGUCUUAAAGCUUAAACCAUUAUUUUUAGUAAUUGGGUUUUUAGAGGACUUCAAUGGUGAGCAGUUUUGGAAUUGGAUGCAAAUAAAAUUAUGAUUCAGGUGAAGGGGUUCUCCAUCAUUUACUUGAUCAUAUGUUCAACCUUUAUUUACUAUAUCACAGUGUGUUGUGCCCUUAGGGUUCAGACACAAAAUACUGCUUGCCUAAGUUUGCCUGAUUAACAGCAGGUCAAAUUUUGCUUCCAAGAUAUAUAGUUAGCUGUAGAACAGACAUCCACGUCUAAAACCAAUUGCUCCCACAAAUGGAACAAAAGAAAACUCAUUACUCUCACGCUUACAUGGAAAUAUGGGUGUAAAAUAGUAAAACAAAACAAUAUGGAAAUUAUAUUAAAAAAGAAUAGAAAUCUUUUGUUAUUGACUGUUAAUUUGUUGGUGCAGUGAUUUAUGUGAAACUGGUGAUGAAUAAUUGGUAUAGGGCACAAGGCACUUAUUAUAGAAACACUCAAACACUUUCCUCUUUACUACAGCCUAACACAUGACUGCAAACACUAUUUCUAAUAAUUAUAUUUGUACAUAAUUUAACAAGCUCUAAUAUCUAAUAAAUUAUAUAUAAUAUCA